AGGCCUGACUGUUAGAAAGAAAACUAACAAACAGAAAUAAUAUCAACAUCAACAAAAAGGACGUCCACACAAAAACCCAAUCUGAAGGUCACCAGCAUCAAAGAUUAAAGUGGAUAAAUCCAUGAAGAUGGGAAGAAACCAGUGCAAAAAGGAUG